rnacentral:rRNA from 1 species
AACGAACGCUGGCGGCAUGCCUAACACAUGCAAGUCGAACGAGACCUUCGGGUCUAGUGGCGCACGGGUGCGUAACGCGUGGGAACCUGCCCUUAGGUUCGGAAUAACUCCCCGAAAGGGGUGCUAAUACCGGAUAAUGUCUUCGGACCAAAGAUUUAUCGCCUUUGGAUGGGCCCGCGUUGGAUUAGCUAGUUGGUAGGGUAAAAGCCUACCAAGGCGACGAUCCAUAGCUGGUCUGAGAGGAUGAUCAGCCACACUGGGACUGAGACACGGCCCAGACUCCUACGGGAGGCAGCAGUGGGGGAUAUUGGACAAUGGGCGAAAGCCUGAUCCAGCAAUGCCGCGUGAGUGAUGAAGGCCUUAGGGUUGUAAAGCUCUUUUACCCGGGACGAUAAUGACAGUACCGGGAGAAUAAGCGCCGGCUAACUCCGUG